UCAGAACCCGCGUCCCCGUUUGAUCCGUGGACCAGGAAAUUGGCUUUCCGUGUAGUGGUGGCAGCAGAAAUGAAUUGAGGGCAGGACCGAGAUUCUUCUCGGCUACGGCGUGUGUCAUUUGGAAGCUGAAGACCCGGGGACGGAGGCAACUAGCGCCGCUGGCGAGCCGCCAUGGAGUUUCUGGUGCAACCAAUUAGCAGAUUUAGUCUGCUUGAGGAGAUAGGGGAGUCGGUUCCUGUGGCUGUCAAUGUCUCUACCGUGGCGGAUCUACAAGUGGCACUGCAGGCGGAGCGGGAGGCAGCGCAACGGCGGUGGACAGCGGCGAAGCACAAAUCUUGUUGGCAAAGGAGGCGGCGGCGAACAGAAGGGAGAGCUCGCCACCAAGGUCGGAGCUGUCGACGGGGGAGAUGAAUCCCCAAGCACCGGGGUGGAACAAAAGGUGGAGAGGCAUCCCAAUGAUAGCCACAACAAGUUCAGGAAGAAUCUUGGAGCACCUUCUGUCAAGGAUUUGAACUUUUGAAGCCAUCUCUGUUCUCUUUCGGCUCCGCUUGAUGGAUGACCAAAAGUAGCUUUAUAUCCCCAUGAAAGUCUCGAAUGUUCCAGUAAGUAUUGUUCAUGUACAUUAUGAAAAUGCUAUUCGGUUUAGUCAUGUUUUUAUUCUGUCAAAUGAUGAUUUUGUUAGUAUAGUCGACAGUAAAAAGUUUAAACCCA